AACGAACGCUGGCGGCAUGCCUAACACAUGUAAGUCGAACGAGACCUUCGGGUCUAGUGGCGCACGGGUGCGUAACGCGUGGGAACCUGCCUUUAGGUUCGGAAUAACUCAGAGAAAUUUGAGCUAAUACCGGAUAAUGUCUUCGGACCAAAGAUUUAUCGCCUUUAGAUGGGCCCGCGUAAGAUUAGCUAGUUGGUGGGGUAAAGGCCUACCAAGGCGACGAUCUUUAGCUGGUCUGAGAGGAUGAUCAGCCACACUGGGACUGAGACACGGCCCAGACCUCCGUACGGGAGGCAGCAGGUAGGGGAAUAGUUGGGAACAAGUGGGACGAAAGCCUGACUACCAGGAC
rnacentral:rRNA from 1 species